CCGUAGCUCAGCUGGAUAGAGCAGCUGACUUCUAAUCAGCAGGCCACAGGUUCGAAUCCUGUCGG
rnacentral:tRNA from 1 species